ensembl:lncRNA
AUCUUAUAGGAGAUUUCUAUGCACCUGAGGUCUUCCUAAGGAUGUGUACAGCAUGCUCAUUUGUCUGGAACCUCUGAAUUCUUCAUCAACAAGACUGACAGAUAACAGUUCUGACCAGCUUGGCGAGUGCUAUGCAAAAGCUUGUGACUUGUGCUGCUGCUGGAACAUGGGAGGGCCUCUUAUCUGAACAAUUUCUAGAGGCAGAAGGAUGAAUGUUACUGGUAUUCCAGCUCAUGGCACGACACUGCUAGAAGGCUCUGAUGAUGCUGGGUAUCACAGGAACGCUGAGAACUCUGCUAGCGCUUUUGAGAGGCCUGAUUAUGCAGUAGGUGUCUGUCUUUGUGUCCGUACGCUGCGUUACCACGGGGGAGCUGAGUGGGAGAUGAGUUCUCUCAGCUCUUGGCCAUUAGAACAGCCGGAGUCUGGAUGGCAGCAUGUAUUGCCUGGGGCCGUCCUCCCACUUGGCAUCCCCAGCCUGGCGGGCCUCUGCCGAUCCCUUCUGGGCUGGCUGCGUGUUGUCCUGAUGCAGAGAAGCAUCAGCUGCCUUUGUCUGCCACUGCUGCUAGCAGCUUUUUGCUGCCGGCAGCUCACGCGACAGUGCUGUUUGCGUGUCAGUUAUCGUGGGCCUGGGAAGCACAGGGAGGGCAUCCCAGGGCCGAGCCCUGUGUGGAUGAUACCAGAAGGCCGGCAGCCAGGCUUCUCGUUCUCCUCCUUCCUGCGGGCUGUACCCAGCAGAACUCGCCCAACUCCUUUCCAUUCCUGAACCUCAGCUCUCCACUUCCUUACUUUUUUCUCUCUUAAAACUAUUACUAAAUUCUGAAACUUCCAGAGGUGAUUCGAUUAAAUGUAGAAACAGUGUCACAGGUCCUGCAUCUGUCUGAAGAAAAGUGAGAACAGGCUGCUGAUUAUGAGGGAAGUCACAAUUACUUCCCCAAAGCGAUGGCUCUUUUUCAGUCCUCUUCUCAUACUGUGCAUAGUUGUAGAGCACCAGGGCCUUACCAAUGUUCUGUCCUGAUCUAACAAGAGAAAUGAAGUAGUUGGAGGCUUUGCUUGUGAUUUGUCAAGUGAAGAAUGUUUUGAAAGGGAAGCUGCAUCCAUCCUGGCUUAGUCUGAUCUCUGGGCCGUUCCUCUGGUGAAGAGGAGGAGCUGACUUCAGUGUGCUUGGAAAACAUCACUCAUGGCAAAUGGAACAUGUGAGGAUGAGAUGAAAUCUGAAAGAUAAUAUUUAAGCCUCUUUGCUUUGGAUAGGUGGAUGAGGUUUUGUUUUCUUCAAAGAUCUUCAAGAUCAACAAAACUGUGUAAGACUGUAAGACAGGCAAAAAAGAGGUGCUUGGCAUGGUGCGACGUAGGUGAAUGGCCUGAGGUGUCUGAAGCAUUUGUAUCUGGUACAGGAUGGCUGUUCUUUCAGUAAUGCUUGGAUCGUCCACGGGAUUCUUCUGCAAAGUUUAGGGACAGCAAGAUGUGUUUGUCUCUGUGGUCUGAAAUGUUUGUCUGGGCAGCAUGGAGGGAAGACAAAGCCAUCAGACUCACUGGGAGCUUCCCACAGAGCUGCCGCUCGGGCUCGUUCCAGGACAAGAGGCUACAAAUGCUGUGGGUUGUGCUGCUGUCUUUGGGUCUUUCAGUGCUUGUUUUUAAAUCUGACAUGGAAUUCAGAGCAUAUACUUAAAACAGGAACUGUUCUCUGUGUGACAAAGUACACAGAACUUUG